GAUUGCAAACUCUCCAGGACAGGGAGAGUUACUAAGCAUUACAUACACCAGCUACUACAAUGAGAUUCUGACCUUGGUUGGGGCCUCUAGGUGCUACUGGAAGAAUGGCAGAACUCCUUAACAUAAUACUACAGUUUAGUUGUGGUAUAACAGCAUAAGAAAUCCCAAAGGAAUUCUUCAAGCAAGUUUUUAGCCAUUGAUUCAUGUUAUGCCAUUCUCCAUCAGAUUGAAGAAACCUUUAGUGGCUGGAAUAUUCUGCCCAUAAAGAUUAAAGAAGACUUCAGGGGUGUUGGAAGAGAACUAAAGAAAAGGAAAGUUUAAGUGAUCUUCACAGAGAUCCUUCCAGUCCCAUGAGCAAGAAAAGGCAGAAUACAGAUAAUACUGGAAGUGAACCAUAGGCUGCAUGAUUGGUGUGAAGCUGAAGGUUUUGGUUUUGUGGUACACUGGGCCACAUUCCAAAGGGAAAGAGAGCUUUACAAAUGGGACAGCCUGCAUCUGACAAAUGUGAGAUGGGUUAUCUUCUCAGUUGAAGACUAGCUGCAGCAGCCAGAAGGAUGUCAAAAGAUAACAGUAAAUAGAAAUAUUACUCUGUAUUUCAUGGAAUAGAUUGCAACUAAUAUUUGUAAGUUACAAGUUUUAACUCCUUGUUUUAAAAAAAAGUGACUAGAUUUUGUAUAAACUGUGUUGCGGUGUGACUCAGAAGUUCAGUGCUUUUGAAAAUUGUACUCGAAGUUCCAUUUUCAGAUUUUACCUAGGUACCUUUGAACCUAAACUCACUGGAAGUCAUUGGUACUUAAGUGU